GAUGAAGAACGUAGCGAAAUGCGAUAAGUAAUGUGAAUUGCAGAAUUCAGUGAAUCAUCGAAUCUUUGAACGCACACUGCGCCCGCCAGUAUUCUGGCGGGCAUGCCUGUUCGAGCGUCAUUUCAACCAUCAAGCCCCAGGCUUGUGUUGGGGACCUGCGGCUGCCGCAGGCCCUGAAAACCAGUGGCGGGCUCGCUGUCACACCGGGCGUAGUAGAUUUUAUCUCGCUCAGGGCGUGCUGCGGGUUCCGGCCGUUAAAAAGCCUUUUUUACCCAAGGUUGACCUCGGAUCAGGUAGGAAGACCCGCUGAACUUAAGCAUAUCAAUAACGGAGGA
rnacentral:misc_RNA from 1 species